rnacentral:rRNA from 1 species
UACGAAGGGGGCUAGCGUUGCUCGGAAUCACUGGGCGUAAAGCGCACGUAGGCGGAUCUUUAAGUCAGGGGUGAAAUCCUGGAGCUCAACUCCAGAACUGCCUUUGAUACUGGGGAUCUCGAGUCCGGAAGAGGUGAGUGGAACUCCGAGUGUAGAGGUGAAAUUCGUAGAUAUUCGGAAGAACACCAGUGGCGAAGGCGGCUCACCUGGUCCGGUACUGACGCUGAGGUGCGGAAAGCGUGGGGAGCAA